GUAUCAUGGAAAAUUGUUCACACAGCUUGACUGAUUGCUUUAAGGGUUUACACUUGUCUCAACUCAGAAAUCCAAGCUCUCCCAGGACUGUUCUAACGGCAGUUCUAAAAGCCUCUUUGGUGUGUUGGAGGCCAGGUAGAGGUGAAGCUUCGCAGUGCUUGGACGUAUACUCAACCAUACGGAGAAUAUCAGCCUGUAGCAGGUAAAUAAGAGCCCAGCACAGAAGAAAAGGCAGAGCUACAAGAAGACAGUGCCACAUUAUUUUCAUUGGAAUCUAUGUACGCAUCUAUGCCUGAGUUUAAAGAUGCUCAAUGACUGUAGGAAGAAGAUACUGGAUUUUCAAAAUAACAUUUGAUGAAAGCAAUUGCCAUGCAGUGAUGAGAACAGGUUUGGGAGGCUCAAGACCUGGUGUGACAUCCUGACUCCAAUUGGUGUAAGCUGCAUUGCUCUGCUCAAAUGAUUCAAACACUAUAAACUGCAGUUGCACAUUGGUAAUACCUACUUCAUUGGACCCCAUGUGUGACAGAAGAAAAAGUCUCAAGUUGGAGUUAAAAUUCUCCUGCAUCCUGAUCAGAUUCUGCUGCAUUCUCCAUGUGACCUCAGUAGGUCAAGUCCAGGUGUAAGAAGGAGACAGUCAAAUGGAGCACAAGAUAGGCCCAAGGAUUUGGGAUGCUCAAGUUGUGGGUCAGAGGCUGAUGAUACAAACAGGAAUCGGGAAGACACAAAGUAAUAUGGAGCAGGGCUGGACAGCAGUAUAGCUCUAGAAGACUGACAGUCACCAGCACACCCAUGGGAAAGGAGAGGUCAGAGAGGGCCAAUGGACCUGCUGGGUAAACAAUCAGGAUUUGAAGAUUCAAAACAAAUAAAGAAGAUGAUUGUAAAUACUGAACUAGAGUUCACAGAGAAGCUGUGCAGUGCACUGGAAUAAAUACUACAUUCUGGCUUCAACUCUGUUCCUGACUACUCUUAGGCUGUUAUGCAAAUCAUUUUCUCUGUAUAAGCCCCAGUUUCUUCCUAGGAUAACUUCCUCCAUUACAGAGGCUUUUGUGAAGCUCAAGUGAAAAAAUGUAUGUGGACAUGCUUUGGAAAUUACAAAAUGCCUAAUAAAGGUGAGAAGUUGGUAUUAUUUUGCUCACCGAAGACAUUGGAAAUAAAGUGAUCGUGAAAAAAUGUCAAGAUGCCCCUGAUAUUUUUAAGUACUCAUUCACCUGUCUGCCUCCACUAAUGGGUUAUAUGCUCUUAGAUUAUCGAGAUGUCAAUGUGUUCUCUGUAUACUCCUUGUAACUAUCUCAUUAGCUGAUUCCUUGUGGUCUACUAAGUAUUAAAGCAAUCAAUAAAAUAAUUGCAAACAACCUUAGUGCUGGCCUCUAUGUAAUCCAAUUUCCCAAUGACAGUGGUUUUAUAGCUAGAUCCCUUCCCCCCACCCUCCUUAUAGUUGGGACUCCAGCCUUUCUGAGAGAAAAAUCUAAUGAUACAAUUCAGUUUAAAAAUUCUCUUAAGCUCACUAAAGUCUAGAAGAACGAAAGCAUGAUAUUCAACACUGUUCAACAUAUUCUGUCUUCUCCCUACCUUUCCCAUCUUGUCUUCCACAAAGGCACACAGAGCCACCAAAUUCUAGAAAUGCUCCAUGCUCUUUUUAAGUCUUAAAAGCUUCACUGCUAUUCCUUGCACCUGGGAUUUUCUUGCCAUUUCUGACUCUACCUCUACCAAGUAAACUACAGUUUACUCAAACAGUCAAAGUUCACUCUACCUCUACCAAGUAAACUGCAGUUUACUCAAACAGUCAAAGUUCACACAUCUAUUUUCCUCACUAGCCCAAGACACAGUUUCACAAUCUUGUCUCUGCUGGAAACCACCACAUCUCAUGGAAUGAUGGGUGUGUGAGUGUUCUCGUGGCUAAAAUUACUUGUGUUUAUUUCUUAUGACCAGCACCUACUGGCAGUGCUUAGAAAGAGAAAACAUGCUCAAUAUAUGUUUAAUGCAAAGAUAGAAGAAAGAAUAUUACUUUUUCCAGUUGUAGUACAGGAGAUAUUCCUGGGAGGACAUCUGGGAAAGCAUUUCCUAUGGGUCUUUACACAAUGAUCCCCAUGGAGUAGAAGGAAAAAAACAUAUAAUAAUAUUUCAAGCUUCUCAAUUUUGCCCAGCCUUCAAGAGCUUAUUUCCUAUGGAACAUUGACUGUAUGGAGUUAAAUUAGAUUUUAUCAAAUAGUAAUUUGUCACAUAUGUAAUACAUGAAGGUGUGUGAUUGAUGUGGAAUCUUGAAAAAUCAUUCUAAUAUGUCAGAAGGACAAAUGGAUUAAUGAGAGGUAUAAUUUAUGGUCGUAGAUGCGGCUCUGUAUUAAGUUGGCAAAAUCAAAGCCUCACUUAAAGGUAAUCUACCUCACUCCAUUCUUAACUAAAGUGUCAUUGCCAGUAAGACCAGCAUAGUGGAAACAGCUCAAUUGUGUUGAAUUCAAGCUACUUAAUCGGCUUCCUUUGACUGAUUCUUCAGAGCAUUUGUUACUAUACUUGAUAAAUAUGUGACCCUGGAUGUUUUAUCACUUUAAUUUUUAUAUCACUAGAAAUAAAGUGUAUUUUAAUUUUUAAUAUUUAGGGCCAGGCUCACGUGUGUAAUCCCAGCACUUUGGGAGGCCAAGGCAGGUGGAUCACCUAAGGUCAGAAAUUUGAGACCAGCCUGGCUAACAUGGUGAAAUCCUGUCUCUACCAAAAAGUACAAAAAUUAGCUAGGUGUGGUGGUGCAUUCUUAUAGUCCCAGCCACUAGGGAACUUGAUGUGGGAGAAUUGCUUGAACCCAGGAGGAGGAGGCUGCAGUGAGCCUAGAUCGCACUACUGUACUUCAGCCUGGGCGACAGUGUGAGACACUGUCUCAAAUAAUAGUAAUAAAUAAUAAUAAUAAUGUUUAGUUUUAAUAUAACUAGAAAUGAAACUUCCCUUAGAACAUAAAUGUAUCUUUUCGCUGCCUUUUUUUUCCAUUUUAAGUCUAUAAGUUACUGCCAUGAACUAAAUUGUGUCUCUCCUAAAUUCAUAUGUUGAACCUCUAGCUCUCUGUGUGACUUUUUUGAAGAUAAAGUUUUUUUCUUUUUCUUUUUUGAUUUUUGUAGGUACAGUCUUUAAGAAGGUGAGGUAAAAUGAGGUCAUAAAAGUAGGUCCCUAACUGAGUAGAACUGGUGUUCUUAGAAGAAGAGGAAGAGAUACUAGAGCUCUCUCUCUCCCUAGUGUGCACACAGCAAAGGUCAGACAGAGUGGCCUCAUCAGACACCAACUCUGAAGGCACCUUGUUCUUGAACUUCUGACUUCCAGAACCGUGAGAAAAUAAAUUUCUGUUGUUUAACCCACUCAGUCUAUGGUAUUCUCUUAUGACAGAGUAAGUACACCAAUAUAGUUACAUAGAGUGGAAUACACAGAAUUUAAAUUUACAUUGCAAUAUGUUUUAACAUAUGCAUAUACUCAUAUAACCUCUCCCCAGUCAGAAGAGAACAUUUGCAACAUCUCGGAAAGCCUGGACUCUCUGCCACAUCCCAAGGCAGUCUGGCUUCAAACUCCCACCCAGGGGCAACUGCUACUCUGAUUUCUAUCUCCAUAAAUUAAGCUUUGCCUAUAAUAGAAUUUCAAAUAAAUGAAAUCUUACAAUACGUACUGUUUUGGUCAGAAUGUAUUAGCUCAACAUCACGUUUUUAAGAUUCACCCAUGUCAUUUCAUUCAUACAAAUAUUGAUAUUCCUGAAUGGUAUUUCAUUUUAUAAAUAUAUCAUCCUUUAUUUAUUCAUUGUCUUGUUAAUAGAUAUUUGAAUUAUUUUUAGUUUUAUUUUUAUAUUAUGAAUAAAGCUGCUCUGAACAUUCU
rnacentral:lncRNA from 1 species